ACGGAAGGGCAGCAGUGGGGAAUAUUGGGCAAUGGGCGAAAGCCUGACCCAGCAACGCCGCGUGAAAGAAGAAGGUCUUCGGAUUGUAAACUUCUUUUAUAAGGGACGAAGAAAGUGACGGUACCUUAUGAAUAAGCCACGGCUAACUACGUGCCAGCAGCCGCGGUAAUACGUAGGUGGCAAGCGUUAUCCGGAUUUACUGGGUGUAAAGGGCGCGUAGGCGGGGAUGCAAGUCAGAUGUGAAAUCUAUGGGCUCAACUCAUAAACUGCAUUUGAAACUGUAUCUCUUGAGUGCUGGAGAGGUAGACGGAAUUCCUUGUGUAGCGGUGAAAUGCGUAGAUAUAAGGAAGAACACCGGUGGCGAAAGCGGUCUACUGGACAGUAACUGACGCUGAGGCGCGAGAGCGUGGGGAGCAAACAGGAUUAGAUACCCUGGUA
rnacentral:rRNA from 1 species